rnacentral:rRNA from 1 species
AACGAACGCUGGCGGCGCGCCUAACGCAUGCAAGUCGAACGAGAAGGCGUAGCAAUACGCUUGUACAGUGGCGAACGGGUGAGGAACACGUGGGUAACCUACCCUCGAGUGGGGAAUAACCAACCGAAAGGUUGGCUAAUGCCGCGUAAGCUUCCAUCUCUUCGGAGGUGGAAGGAAAGCUGUACCGUGGGUACAGCGCUCAAGGAUGGGCUCACGUCCUAUCAGCUUGUUGGUAGGGAACGGCCUACCAAGGCAACGACGGGUAGCUGGUCUGAGAGGACGAUCAGCCACACUGGCACUGCGACACGGGCCAGACUCCUACGGGAGGCAGCAGUGAGGAAUAUUGCGCAAUGGG